GGAGAGGUGCCUGAGUGGCCGAAAGGAACAGUUUGCUAAACUGUCGUACUGGUAACGGUACCGCGGGUUCGAAUCCCGCCCUCUCCGCCA
rnacentral:tRNA from 3 species